rnacentral:rRNA from 1 species
GAUGAACGCUGGCGGCGUGCUUAACACAUGCAAGUCGAACGGAAAGGCCGAAGCUUGCUUCGGUACUCGAGUGGCGAACGGGUGAGUAACACGUGGGUGAUCUGCCCUGUACUUCGGGAUAAGCUUGGGAAACUGGGUCUAAUACCGGAUAUGACGAUCUCUUGGAUGGGGUUGUGGAAAGCUUUUGCGGUAUGGGAUGAGCUCGCGGCCUAUCAGCUUGUUGGUGGGGUAAUGGCCUACCAAGGCGUCGACGGGUAGCCGGCCUGAGAGGGUGUACGGCCAAUGUGGGAGUGGGAGACGGCCAGAACUCCGGGGGGGGGGAGAAGGGGGGAAUAUCGAACAAGGGGCGAACGCGGGAGGCGGAGCCGCGGUGGGGGGGAGGCCGCCUUGGGGGGUGAAACCUCCUUGCGCAAUGGACGAGGCUUUUUGGGGACGGGAGUUGGAAAAGAAGCCCCGGCAAACUAGGUG